AGCGAACGCUGGCGGCAGGCUUAACACAUGCAAGUCGAGCGGGCGUAGCAAUACGUCAGCGGCAGACGGGUGAGUAACGCGUGGGAACGUACCUUUUGGUUCGGAACAACCCAGGGAAACUUGGGCUAAUACCGGAUAAGCCCUUACGGAGAAAGAUUUAUCGCCGAAAGAUCGGCCCGCGUCUGAUUAGCUAGUUGGUGAGGUAAUGGCUCACCAAGGCGACGAUCAGUAGCUGGUCUGAGAGGAUGAUCAGCCACAUUGGGACUGAGACACGGCCCAAACUCCUACGGGAGGCAGCAGUGGGGAAUAUUGGACAAUGGGCGCAAGCCUGAUCCAGCCAUGCCGCGUGAGUGAUGAAGGCCCUAGGGUUGUAAAGCUCUUUUGUGCGGGAAGAUAAUGACGGUACCGCAAGAAUAAGCCCCGGCUAACUUCGUGCCAGCAGCCGCCGUAAGAC
rnacentral:rRNA from 1 species